rnacentral:rRNA from 1 species
GAUGAACGCUGGCGGCGUGCCUAAUACAUGCAAGUCGAGCGAACGGACGAGAAGCUUGCUUUUCUGAUGUUAGCGGCGGACGGGUGAGUAACACGUGGAUAACCUACCUAUAAGACUGGGAUAACUUCGGGAAACCGGAGCUAAUACCGGAUAAUAUUUUGAACCGCAUGGUUCAAAAGUGAAAGACGGUCUUGCUGUCACUUAUAGAUGGAUCCGCGCUGCAUUAGCUAGUUGGUAAGGUAACGGCUUACCAAGGCAACGAUGCAUAGCCGACCUGAGAGGGUGAUCGGCCACACUGGAACUGAGCCACGGUCCAGACUCCUACGGGAGGCAGCAGUAGGGAAUCUUCCGCAAUGGGCGAAAGCCUGACGGAGCAACGCCGCGUGAGUGAUGAAGGUCUUCGGAUCGUAAAACUCUGUUAUUAGGGAAGAACAUAUGUGUAAGUAACUGUGCACAUCUUGACGGUACCUAAUCAGAAAGCCACGGCUAACUACGUG